rnacentral:tRNA from 1 species
GCUGGGAUAGCUCAGUCGAUAGAGCAUAAGACUCUUAAUCUCAAGGUUGUGGGUUUGAGUCCCACAUUGUGUA